rnacentral:tRNA from 1 species
GCCUUCGUGGUGCAAUGGUCUGCAUGCUCGCCGCGUAACCGAGAGGUCCGUGGUUCGAUUCCCGGCGAAGGCG